rnacentral:rRNA from 1 species
GACGAACGCUGGCGGCGUGCUUAACACAUGCAAGUCGAACGGAAAGGCCCUGCUUUUGUGGGGUGCUCGAGUGGCGAACGGGUAAGUAACACGUGAGUAACCUGCCCUUGACUUUGGGAUAACUUCAGGAAACUGGGGCUAAUACCGGAUAGGAGCUCCUGCUGCAUGGUGGGGGUUGGAAAGUUUCGGCGGUUGGGGAUGGACUCGCGGCUUAUCAGCUUGUUGGUGGGGUAGUGGCUUACCAAGGCUUUGACGGGUAGCCGGCCUGAGAGGGUGACCGGCCACAUUGGGACUGAGAUACGGCCCAGACUCCUACGGGAGGCAGCAGUGGGGAAUAGUGCACAAUGGGCGGAAGCCUGAUGCAGCAACGCCGCGUGCGGGAUGACGGCCUUCGGGUUGUAAACCGCUUUCGCCUGUGACGAAGCGUGAGUGACGGUAAUGGGUAAAGAAGCACCGGCUAACUACGUG